rnacentral:lncRNA from 1 species
AUGUCGCCCUCGGCUGCCUUGAGAGCCUUGACAGCCUUGGGCCUUGAGACGGAUGCCUGGGUCAUCACCAGCUCAAUGUCCUUGGGCUCGACACCAGUGUCGUCGACCUCCUCCUCGUUGUCCUCCUGGCCAAGGCCAGAUGUUUCAGGCUUGGAGAUCAUCUGGCUCAAGUCAGGAGCCUUGAACUGUUCAGCAGCCUGGGUCUGCAGCUGGGAGCUGAGGUCCUCGAUCUUGGCCUCACCGAAGAUGACAUAGGUAUCGGAGUUCGGGCUCUUGAACACAUCUGGCUUGGAGAUGACAAACAGUAU